GGGCGAAUAGCUCAGUGGGAGAGCAGGUCUCUUACAAAGAUCAGGUCAGAGGUUCGACUCCUUUUUCGCCCA
rnacentral:tRNA from 1 species